rnacentral:rRNA from 1 species
UACGGGGGGGGCAAGCGUUGUUCGGAAUUACUGGGCGUAAAGGGCGCGUAGGCGGUGCUCUAAGUCGGAUGUGAAAACUCUGGGCUCAACCCAGAGCCUGCAUCCGAAACUGGAGUGCUAGAGUUCUGGAGGGGGUAGCGGAAUUCCUGGUGUAGCGGUGAAAUGCGUAGAUAUCUGGAGGAAUACCGGUGGCGAAGGCGGCAUCCUGGACCGACAUUGACGCUGAACGGCGAAAGCUAGGGGAGCAAACGGG